UUAAUAUUAGUUAAAAUUUAAUAACAUUUAAUUUACAAUUAAAAUUUUUUUUAAAAAAAAUAUUAUA
rnacentral:tRNA from 1 species